rnacentral:rRNA from 1 species
AUUGAACGCUGGCGGCAUGCCUAACACAUGCAAGUCGAACGAGUGGCGGACGGGUGAGUAAUGUCUGGGAAACUGCCUGAUGGAGGGGGAUAACUACUGGAAACGGUAGCUAAUACCGCAUACCCUCGGAUGUGCCCAGAGGGGAUUAGCUAGUCGGUGGGGUAACGGCUCACCUCGGCUACGAUCCCUAGCUGGUCUGAGAGGAUGACCAGCCACACUGGAACUGAGACACGGUCCAGACGCCUACGGGAGGCAGCAGUGGGGAAGAUUGCACAAUGGGCGCAAGCCUGAUGCAGCCAUGCCGCGUGUAUGAAGAAGGUCUUCGGAUUGUAAAGCACUUUAAGUUGGGAGGCGGUACCAACAGAAUAAGCACCGGCUAACUUCGUGCCAGCAGCCGCGGUAAUUC